AUGGUCAACUGGAAACAAUGUUGUUCGCCAAAAAAACUUGGAGGCCUAGGGAUCAAAGACAUUGCCCUCUUUAGCAGAUCGCUACGUCUUCGGUGGCUUUGGUAUGAGUGGGACUCACUGCAAUGUCCAUGGAAAGGAACUCCAGUACCAUGUGACCAAAUAGAUAGAAAGCUCUUUGCGGCUUGCACAGAGAUUACCAUUGGUAAUGGACAAACUGCACUUUUUUGGCAUGAUAGAUGGCUGCAGGGUAAUGCCCCUAAAGAUAUUGCACCAGAGCUCUUCUCAUUGGCUUGGAGAAAAAAAUUGAAGGUGGCUGAGGCUCUUGCUGGGGAAAGAUGGAUGCGCGGAAUCCAAAGAGUGUCAACAGAGACCCAAAUCUUACAGUUCAUAAAGCUUUGGGAAUUGAUGCAGACAAUACAACUUUCAACCUCUCAUGACUCAAUAGUCUGGAAGCGCUCCAAUAAUGGAAACUACACCGCUAAAUCUGCUUAUGAAGCUCAAUUCAUUGGCCGAAUCCCACAACAGCAGCUAGAAGUGGUUUGGAAGGCAAAGAACGAAGGGAAAGUUAAAUUCUACAUUUAG
rnacentral:rRNA from 1 species